UACGUAGGCAGCAAGCGUUGUUCGGAGUUACUGGGCGUAAAGAGUGCGUAGGCGGUUUUCUAAGUUUGGUGUGAAAUCUCCCGGCUUAACUGGGAGGGUGCGCCGAAAACUGGAAGGCUUGAGUAUGGGAGAGGUAAGCGGAAUUCCUGGUGUAGCGGUGAAAUGCGUAGAUAUCAGGAGGAACACCUGCGGUGUAGACGGCUUACUGGACCAUAACUGACGCUGAGGCACGAAAGCGUGGGUAGCAAACAGG
rnacentral:rRNA from 1 species